rnacentral:rRNA from 1 species
GAUGAACGCUGGCGGCGUGCCUAAUACAUGCAAGUCGAACGGGGUGUUUGAGCAAUCGGACACUUAGUGGCGAACGGGUGAGUAACGCGUUGGUGACCUGCCCCAAAGCGGGGGAUAACAGCCUGAAAGGGUUGCUAAUACCGCAUAUGAUGAUGAGAGACUAGAAACUUAUCAUUAAAGGAGAAAUCCACUUUGGGAGGGGCCUGCGUCCCAUCAGCUAGUUGGUAGGGUAAAAGCCUACCAAGGCGAAGACGGGUAGGGGACCUGAGAGGGUGACCCCCCACAAUGGAACUGAAACACGGUCCAUACACCUACGGGUGGCAGCAGUAGGGGAUAUUGCACAAUGGGCGGAAGCCUGAUGCAGCAACGCCGCGUGAGUGAUGAAGGCCCUCGGGUCGUAAAACUCUUUUCAAAGAGGAAGAGGAAGGACGGUACUCUUGGAAUAAGCCUCGGCUAACUACGUG